AUUCCGGCCGUCAGCAUUACCAUGCAGUCGACGGCAGCACGGGUGCUUGCACCUGGUGGCGAGUGGCGAACGGGUGAGUAAUACAUCGGAACAUGUCCUGUAGUGGGGAUAGCCCGGCGAAAGCCGGAUUAAUACCGCAUACGAUCUACGGAUGAAAGCGGGGACCUUCGGGCCUCGCGCUAUAGGGUUGGCCGAUGGCUGAUUAGCUAGUUGGUGGGGUAAAGGCCUACCAAGGCGACGAUCAGUAGCUGGUCUGAGAGGACGACCAGCCACCCUGGGACUGAGACUUGGCCCAGACUCCUACAGGAGGCAGCAUUGGGGAAUUUUGGACAAUGGGCGAAAGCCUGAACCAGUAAUGCCGCGUGUGGGAAGAAGGCCUUCGGGUUGUAAAGCAUUUUGUCCGGAAAGAAAUCCUUGGCUCUAAUACAUCUGGGGAUGACAGAACCGGAAUAAUAAGGACCCGCUAACUACAGGCCUAAUUCCAAGUCAAACAUGAGGAGGCUUGGUCAGUGGCCGCGCUUUGUGGAUUAUGUGCGCUCGCUUAGCGUGCCGAGCGAUUUAUCCUCGUAGCGUAAAAUUACUACACUGCACUCCUUACUCUUUUGCCCUGCUCCCUCCCAUGGUGUGUAUCUGUGUCGUUCCGUCAGUUUCACUCACCAGAUAAGUGACUGCCUAUCUACCGUCUGGAACUGGCUUUGUGUACAUCAUU
rnacentral:rRNA from 1 species